AGGAUGAACGCUGGCGGUAUGCUUUACACAUGCAAGUCGUACGAGAGUUUUUAACUCAAGUGGCGGACGGGUGAGUAACACGUAAGAAUUUGCCUUUAGGAGGGGGAUAACAACUGGAAACGGUUGCUAAUACCCCAUAUGCUUUCGAGUGAAAUGGAUUUUCCGCCUAAAGAAAAGCUUGCGGCUGAUUAGCUUGUUGGUGAGGUAAUGGCUCACCAAGGCGACGAUCGGUAGCUGGUCUGAGAGGACGAUCAGCCACACUGGGACUGAGACACGGCCCAGACUCCUACGGGAGGCAGCAGUGGGGAAUUUUCCGCAAUGGGCGAAAGCCUGACGGAGCAAGACCGCGUGGGGGAAGAAGGCUCUUGGGUUGUAAACCCCUUUUCUCUGGGAAGAACACAAUGACGGUACCAGAGGAAUCAGCAUCGGCUAACUCCGUGCCAGCAGCCGC
rnacentral:rRNA from 1 species